UGUUGUUGGGGUUUACAAUUUCAUCUUAUCCACUCUCAUAUAUCUACUUUUCUUAUUUACUUCACUUAUUUAUCUAAUUGUCAUGCAAACUUUCUAGCCUAUCCUUAACCCAAUCCCUUGGUGAAAAGAGCCUAUUAUUAAUUAUCGGCUUGCUAUCCCUAGCCUCCCCUAUUAACCAAUAAUGCAAUGUGAACGGAAGCAAAAUACAAUUGAUCGUCCUACCCCUAUCCCUAGGCGGUAUUAGCAUAAUAAAGGAAUUUCUCACCAGUUCAUGACAUUACCGUACGUCCCCAUAUCGAUAAAGACAAACAACAUUUACUGAAUAAGUUAAACAAUAAAAGCAUUUAGCAAAGAUGAGAACCCAACAAUUGAUAAACAAGUAUAUAACAAGCAUAUGAAAUAAAUAAGAAUUUGGAUAUAUGAGAGUUUCAAAAGAUUACAUUGUUCCCCAACAGCAAAGGGUUUAGUUCA
rnacentral:lncRNA from 1 species